UAUUGCGAUACAUCAUGAUGGAAUAUCGUGACAUCAUUUCAAGAUCAUAUCACCCACCUCUACUAAACAGAGGACUUUUCCCACCAAAGUUUGACUUUUUUAUACUUCCUGACCAGACUAGACCAGACAACAAGGGAGAAGCUGUUAGCCUGCUACCGAAACAACCACAGGCUAACAAUAAGGGGUCUCAAACUCAAUUUGCCUGGGGCCCGCAUGAGUUAGAGUCUGGGUGAGGCUGGGCCGCAUCAAACAUCUUGCAAUCCAUUGAAAGAAGUACGACUCGCCGCUCCAGUCCAGACACAACAAACCACAUUAUGCCAAACUCCGCCGACUCACAAGCAUGGCCAACGUGGUCCGACACUGACGCUCUGUGGACAUUUCGAGAUUUUCCGAAGAAAAUGGUGGGCGCUCUUCACAAACCGGAUGCGCUGCGGGACGCCGCCCGGAUGCUUACCAAACGCAGCAGCACUUGCAGUUUUCCUAUCUACGUUGGGAAGAUCAUCAGUCUA